GAACCUUACCAGGCCUUGACAUGCAGAGAACUUUCCAGAGAUGGAUUGGUGCCUUCGGGAACUCUGACACAGGUGCUGCAUGGCUGUCGUCAGCUCGUGUCGUGAGAUGUUGGGUUAAGUCCGUAACGAGCGCAACCCUUGUCCUUAGUUACCAGCACGUUAUGGUGGGCACUCUAAGGAGACUGCCGGUGACAAACCGGAGGAAGGUGGGGAUGGCGUCAAGUCAUCAUGGCCCUUACGGCCUGGGCUACACACGUGCUACAAUGGUCGGUACAAAGGGUUGCCAAGCCGCGAGGUGGAGCUAAUCCCAUAAAACCGAUCGUAGUCCGGAUCGCAGUCUGCAACUCGACUGCGUGAAGUCGGAAUCGCUAGUAAUCGUGAAUCAGAAUGUCACGGUGAAUACGUUCCCGGGCCUU
rnacentral:rRNA from 1 species